GUGGGGAAUAUUGGGCAAUGGGCGAAAGCCUGACCCAGCAACGCCGCGUGAAGGAAGAAGGUCUUCGGAUCGUAAACUUCUAUCCUUGGUGAAGAUAAUGACGGUAGCCGAGAAGGAAGCCCCGGCUAACUACGUGCCAGCAGCCGCGGUAAUACGUAGGGGGCAAGCGUUGUCCGGAAUGAUUGGGCGUAAAGGGCGCGUAGGUGGCCUGGUAAGUCUGGAGUGAAAGUCCUGCUUUUAAGGUGGGAAUUGCUUUGGAUACUGUCGGGCUUGAGUGCAGGAGAGGUAAGUGGAAUUCCGGGUGUAGCGGUGAAAUGCGUAGAGAUCGGGAGGAACACCAGUGGCGAAGGCGACUUACUGGACUGUAACUGACGCUGAGGCGCGAAAGUGUGGGGAGCAAACAGGAUUAGAUACCCCUGUAGUCC
rnacentral:rRNA from 1 species